rnacentral:rRNA from 1 species
GCCCCCUCUCCAGAUGAACGCUGGCGGCGUGCCUAAUACAUGCAAGUCGAACGAACUUCCGUUAAUUGAUUAUGACGUACUUGUACUGAUUGAGAUUUUAACACGAAGUGAGUGGCGAACGGGUGAGUAACACGUGGGUAACCUGCCCAGAAGUAGGGGAUAACACCUGGAAACAGAUGCUAAUACCGUAUAACAGAGAAAACCGCAUGGUUUUCUUUUAAAAGAUGGCUCUGCUAUCACUUCUGGAUGGACCCGCGGCGUAUUAGCUAGUUGGUGAGGUAAAGGCUCACCAAGGCAGUGAUACGUAGCCGACCUGAGAGGGUAAUCGGCCACAUUGGGACUGAGACACGGCCCAGACUCCUACGGGAGGCAGCAGUAGGGAAUCUUCCACAAUGGACGCAAGUCUGAUGGAGCAACGCCGCGUGAGUGAAGAAGGGUUUCGGCUCGUAAAGCUCUGUUGUUAAAGAAGAACGUGGGUAAGAGUAACUGUUUACCCAGUGACGGUAUUUAACCAGAAAGCCACGGCUAACUACGUGCCAGCAGCCGCGGUAAUACGUAGGUGGCAAGCGUUAUCCGGAUUUAUUGGGCGUAAAGCGAGCGCAGGCGGUCUUUUAAGUCUAAUGUGAAAGCCUUCGGCUCAACCGAAGAAGUGCAUUGGAAACUGGGAGACUUGAGUGCAGAAGAGGACAGUGGAACUCCAUGUGUAGCGGUGAAAUGCGUAGAUAUAUGGAAGAACACCAGUGGCGAAGGCGGCUGUCUGGUCUGCAACUGACGCUGAGGCUCGAAAGCAUGGGUAGCGAACAGGAUUAGAUACCCUGGUAGUCCAUGCCGUAAACGAUGAUUACUAAGUGUUGGAGGGUUUCCGCCCUUCAGUGCUGCAGCUAACGCAUUAAGUAAUCCGUC